rnacentral:rRNA from 1 species
AACGAACGCUGGCGGCAGGCCUAACACAUGCAAGUCGAACGAAAUCUUCGGAGCUAGUGGCGGACGGGUGCGUAACGCGUGGGAACGUGCCUUUAGGUUCGGAAUAACUCAGGGAAACUUGUGCUAAUACCGAAUGUGCCCUUCGGGGGAAAGAUUUAUCGCCUUUGGAGCGGCCCGCGUCUGAUUAGCUAGUUGGUAAGGUAAAGGCCCACCAAGGCGACGAUCAGUAGCUGGUCUGAGAGGAUGACCAGCCACACUGGGACUGAGACACGGCCCAGACUCCUACGGGAGGCAGCAGUGGGGAAUCUUGCGCAAUGGGCGAAAGCCUGACGCAGCCAUGCCGCGUGAAUGAUGAAGGUCUUAGGAUUGUAAAGUUCUUUCACCGGGGACGAUAAUGACGGUACCCGGAGAAUAAGCCCCGGCUAACUUCGUG